UGCACACUUCACGGGUGCUUACGCGCUGCUCGGUUUUGCAGCUGUGUCGGGCUGAGAUGCCACAGAAGUUGUGGCGAACCGUAGAACCUGAUCCGGGUAAUGCCGGCGAGAGGGAGGAAAUUAUGACAACUAA
rfam:Corynebacterium sp. KPL1821 genomic scaffold addSR-supercont1.1, whole genome shotgun sequence.